AAGGUUAAGCCUCACGGUUCAUUAGUACCGGUUAGCUCAACGCAUCGCUGCGCUUACACACCCGGCCUAUCAACGUCGUCGUCUUCAACGUUCCUUCAGGACUCUCAAGGAGUCAGGGAGAACUCAUCUCGGGGCAAGUUUCGUGCUUAGAUGCUUUCAGCACUUAUCUCUUCCGCAUUUAGCUACCGGGCAGUGCCAUUGGCAUGACAACCCGAACACCAGUGAUGCGUCCACUCCGGUCCUCUCGUACUAGGAGCAGCCCCCCUCAGUUCUCCAGCGCCCACGGCAGAUAGGGACCGAACUGUCUCACGACGUUCUAAACCCAGCUCGCGUACCACUUUAAAUGGCGAACAGCCAUACCCUUGGGACCUACUUCAGCCCCAGGAUGUGAUGAGCCGACAUCGAGGUGCCAAACACCGCCGUCGAUAUGAACUCUUGGGCGGUAUCAGCCUGUUAUCCCCGGAGUACCUUUUAUCCGUUGAGCGAUGGCCCUUCCAUUCAGAACCACCGGAUCACUAUGACCUGCUUUCGCACCUGCUCGCGCCGUCACGCUCGCAGUCAAGCUGGCUUAUGCCAUUGCACUAACCUCCUGAUGUCCGACCAGGAUUAGCCAACCUUCGUGCUCCUCCGUUACUCUUUAGGAGGAGACCGCCCCAGUCAAACUACCCACCAGACACUGUCCGCAACCCGGAUUACGGGUCAACGUUAGAACAUCAAACAUUAAAGGGUGGUAUUUCAAGGCCGGCUCCAUGCAGACUGGCGUCCACACUUCAAAGCCUCCCACCUAUCCUACACAUCAAGGCUCAAUGUUCAGUGUCAAGCUAUAGUAAAGGUUCACGGGGUCUUUCCGUCUUGCCGCGGGUACACUGCAUCUUCACAGCGAGUUCAAUUUCACUGAGUCUCGGGUGGAGACAGCCUGGCCAUCAUUACGCCAUUCGUGCAGGUCGGAACUUACCCGACAAGGAAUUUCGCUACCUUAGGACCGUUAUAGUUACGGCCGCCGUUUACCGGGGCUUCGAUCAAGAGCUUCGCUUGCGCUGACCCCAUCAAUUAACCUUCCGGCACCGGGCAGGCGUCACACCGUAUACGUCCACUUUCGUGUUUGCACAGUGCUGUGUUUUUAAUAAACAGUUGCAGCCAGCUGGUAUCUUCGACUGAUUUCAGCUCCAUCCGCGAGGGACUUCACCUACAUAUCAGCGUGCCUUCUCCCGAAGUUACGGCACCAUUUUGCCUAGUUCCUUCACCCGAGUUCUCUCAAGCGCCUUGGUAUUCUCUACCUGACCACCUGUGUCGGUUUGGGGUACGAUUUGAUGUUACCUGAUGCUUAGAGGCUUUUCCUGGAAGCAGGGCAUUUGUUGCUUCAGCACCGUAGUGCCUCGUCAUCACGCCUCAGCCUUGAUUUUCCGGAUUUGCCUGGAAAACCAGCCUACACGCUUAAACCGGGACAACCGUCGCCCGGCCAACAUAGCCUUCUCCGUCCCCCCUUCGCAGUAACACCAAGUACAGGAAUAUUAACCUGUUUCCCAUCGACUACGCCUUUCGGCCUCGCCUUAGGGGUCGACUCACCCUGCCCCGAUUAACGUUGGACAGGAACCCUUGGUCUUCCGGCGAGCGGGCUUUUCACCCGCUUUAUCGUUACUUAUGUCAGCAUUCGCACUUCUGAUACCUCCAGCAUGCCUCACAGCACACCUUCGCAGGCUUACAGAACGCUCCCCUACCCAACAACGCAUCAGCGUCGCUGCCGCAGCUUCGGUGCAUGGUUUAGCCCCGUUACAUCUUCCGCGCAGGCCGACUCGACCAGUGAGCUAUUACGCUUUCUUUAAAUGAUGGCUGCUUCUAAGCCAACAUCCUGGCUGUCUGGGCCUUCCCACAUCGUUUCCCACUUAACCAUGACUUUGGGACCUUAGCUGGCGGUCUGGGUUGUUUCCCUCUUCACGACGGACGUUAGCACCCGCCGUGUGUCUCCCGUGAUAACAUUCUCCGGUAUUCGCAGUUUGCAUCGGGUUGGUAAGUCGGGAUGACCCCCUUGCCGAAACAGUGCUCUACCCCCGGAGAUGAAUUCACGAGGCGCUACCUAAAUAGCUUUCGGGGAGAACCAGCUAUCUCCCGGUUUGAUUGGCCUUUCACCCCCAGCCACAAGUCAUCCGCUAAUUUUUCAACAUUAGUCGGUUCGGUCCUCCAGUUAGUGUUACCCAACCUUCAACCUGCCCAUGGCUAGAUCACCGGGUUUCGGGUCUAUACCCUGCAACUUAACGCCCAGUUAAGACUCGGUUUCCCUUCGGCUCCCCUAUUCGGUUAACCUUGCUACAGAAUAUAAGUCGCUGACCCAUUAUACAAAAGGUACGCAGUCACACAGAUUGCUCUGUGCUCCCACUGCUUGUACGUACACGGUUUCAGGUUCUUUUUCACUCCCCUCGCCGGGGUUCUUUUCGCCUUUCCCUCACGGUACUGGUUCACUAUCGGUCAGUCAGGAGUAUUUAGCCUUGGAGGAUGGUCCCCCCAUAUUCAGACAGGAUACCACGUGUCCCGCCCUACUCAUCGAGCUCACAGUAUGUGUAUUUUUGUGUACGGGGCUGUCACCCUGUAUCGCGCGCCUUUCCAGACGCUUCCACUAACACACACACUGAUUCAGGCUCUGGGCUGCUCCCCGUUCGCUCGCCGCUACUGGGGGAAUCUCGGUUGAUUUCUUUUCCUCGGGGUACUUAGAUGUUUCAGUUCCCCCGGUUCGCCUCAUUAACCUAUGGAUUCAGUUAAUGAUAGUGUGUCGAAUCACACUGGGUUUCCCCAUUCGGAAAUCGCCGGUUAUAACGGUUCAUAUCACCUUACCGACGCUUAUCGCAGAUUAGCACGUCCUUCAUCGCCUCUGACUGCCAGGGCAUCCACCGUGUACGCUUAGUCGCUUAA
rnacentral:rRNA from 1 species